GACGAACGCUGGCGGCGUGCUUAACACAUGCAAGUCGAACGAUGAACCCGGAGCUUGCUCCGGCGGAUUAGUGGCGAACGGGUGAGUAACACGUGAGUAACCUGCCCUUGACUCUGGGAUAACUGCUAGAAAUGGUAGCUAAUACCGGAUACGACCCUCGGUGGCAUCACCAGGGGGUGGAAAGAAUUUCGGUCAAGGAUGGACUCGCGGCCUAUGAGCUAGUUGGUGAGGUAACGGCUCACCAAGGCGACGACGGGUAGCCGGCCUGAGAGGGUGACCGGCCACACUGGGACGGAGACACGGCCCAGACUCCUACGGGAGGCAGCAGUGGGGAAUAUUGCACAAUGGGGGCAAGCCUGAUGCAGCAACGCCGCGUGAGGGAUGACGGCCUUCGGGUUGUAAACCUCUUUUAGUAGGGAAGAAGCGAAAGUGACGGUACCUGCAGAAAAAGCACCGGCUAACUACGUGCCAGCCGCCGCCGUAA
rnacentral:rRNA from 1 species